GUUGAUUAUAGAUCAAAGUGAUAAGUCCCCAAAAACAUAAACCUACCGUACAAUCAAGAAAUUGAAAAAAAAAAUUUCCACAUAUUUCUUCCUAUCAAUUUCAAAAUUCAGAGUCAAAAUGUAGUCUGUCAGAUAAUAACUACGAAAUUUCCUGUUGUUCCUUCUUAAAUUUUGCCAAAAAAAUCAGAAAUCUACAUCUCUAUACCACCUUAGAAAUUUAUUUAUUUAUUAUUUUGGUGUUAAUUUCGUCUCCUCUUUCAAUUUCAUUCUACCAUCAGUACAGGGAGCGCAUAUUUCCAGGUAACAUGCUCAUUUUACUUUGAAGCUUUUUAUUAUGGAAUUUUCUGAAUUUUGAUUCCAAAGUAGCAGUAAAUAAUUCUUGAUUUGAGAUUUUUGUUUGCUUUUUCGUUAAAUGUUUAUGAUUUAAGUAAUUUCUAUUUAAAAUUAUUCAGUAGCUCAAUAAGUAGUUAUCUUCUAAUUCUUAAUCGUUAGCCAUUUUCAUUUUGUUGUUUUGUACAUCAUGUCAAUUCUAGUUUGACAUUUUCAAAUAGAAUAUUUUUGCCUAAGUUUACAACGUGUUUAUAAGAACUAAAAUUAAUGUUUAGAUGUUACCUUUAAAUUUUUGUUUGCUAAAUAUGUAUUAGAAAGUGCAAAUGUUCGCAUUUCCUUGUUAAUUUCAUGUCAAUUUCAAUUUCAACUUUUCAUUUCCAGGGUUUCAAUUUAUAUUGUUAAUAUUCAAAGGAUUGGUACUGAAAUCGGUAGUACAUUUAGGGUGGUGUCCUUGGUGUUGCGGUUUGCUUCUGGUGGUGGCUUGAAUUUUUUGACGAUUUUGCAUUGUCAGCUAUUAUUUUGUCAUAUUAUGAGUGAAAUAGUGUAAUUUGGCUUUUUGUAACAAUAAUUUGUUAUGAAGAGAAGGGAACUCAGCUGACUUGGGGAGAAAAGAAGAAGAGGAAUCCCAGAAACAGAGAAAAAUGAAGCAGCCAACGGUCAUCUACAAAUUUGAAGUCCGAAGGAAAUGGCAUCAUUUGUUGUUGUCAACUCCUAUUUUACGUUUUAUUGAGUUGUAUUAGGAAAGCAGGCUUUUGGCGGUUUAAGAAAGUAGACGAGAAGAGGCAGAAGGGUGUGAACGAUUUGUGCGUGGUUUCCAUAUUUCUUCUCUGACCUCAGUUUCUUUUUCUUCUUCUUCAAAAUCUACCUUUUUAAUUUUUGUUAAAUUCUCACUGUGAUAGACACUUUGUCUCAAAAUUAAUCAUUGGGUGUUGAGUUUUGUUUAAUUUCUGAUUUAUCACUGUGUUUGAUUGUGUCCCAGGUUGAGAAUUGAAGCUCAACUAUAACAUUUGGCAUCAAAGUAGCAACGUGACUUGGGUAUGGCUGAAACUAGGAGUAAAUCUAAUGAGGAACACCUUAAGAAGCUAGACAAGGAAAUAUCAGACUUGGGUAUUGAUGCGAACAUCCAUUUACUAUUUAUUUUCUAUUUGGACUAUUAGUUAUAUUCUAUUUGGAUUAUUAUUUAUAUUUCUAUUAUUGAG
rnacentral:lncRNA from 1 species